CUCCCAGAAUAUUCGGAGCAGCAUGAUAAUAUCUCUCGAUUUGCAUCGAGAUUAUCGGGGUUAGGCCCUUUCUGCACAACAUCACGCGUUUGGUAUUUGUGCUGCACUAGAUCAAUGACACCGAUAAUUAUUCAAGAUACGACACUUGUGUGGUUUCAUUUUACUAUGAGUUAACUCGUGUCGAUUUAAACUCGACUUUCUAGUAAACGAUUUACUGCAUAUGGUACAACCAUAUGGUUUAAUACCAGCAUGAAACUUCAUGUGAACAGUCAGAUGUGAUUUUUGUCUGAAAAACUUUUGACAAACACCGCAUUCAUAGGAUUUCUGUCCAGUAUGAAUUAAGGAGUGUACAGUCAAUGCGGAUUUCUGGUGUUACUUUUUGAAACAUCUCUAUCGCAGUGAGUUGGAGGAUCCUGCCACGAUUUCAUUAAAGAAUCCCACGAAAAAAUGCUGCUCGAUCUACCAUUUCUGCAAUUGAAAUUGUUCUCCGACGAUGUUUCAUUAUCUG